rnacentral:tRNA from 1 species
GGGGACGUGGUGUAGCCUGGUUUAACACGCCGGCCUGUCAAGCCGGAGAUCGCGAGUUCAAAUCUCGUCGUCCCCGCCA